GAUUUCUGAUGUGACGAGCCUGUCCCGCCGUGGUUACACGUGUGAGUGACGGGUUUCGUCCGUCUGUCUUCCGUGUGUGUGUUGUGAUUCAGUAAUGGAUUGCAGCACCGCUCGGAUCUUUUACUUUGAACAAAUUAGAGUGUUUCAAGCAGGCGUCAAGCCCUGAAUACAUGAGCAUGGAAUAAUCAUCGAGGACUGAGGUUCUGCGUUGGUUGGUUCGAGAACUGCAGUAAUGAUGGAUAGGGAUAGUUGGGGGUGCUAGUAUUCCGAGGCCAGAGGUGAAAUUCUUGGAUUCUCGGAAGACUCACUUAGGCGAAAGCAUU
rnacentral:rRNA from 1 species